CUUCCAGUAGCACCUUAGAGACCAACCAAGUUUGUUAUUGGUAUGAACUGAAUCUGAAGAAGUGUGCAUGCACACAAAAGCUCAUACCAAUAACAAACUUACCGUAGUUGGUCUCUAAGGUGCUACUGGAAG